GAAUGUACAGGAGGAUGUGGAGCUGAGUAGACUUUUGCCGAUGACGAGAUACCGGUGGAGUCAAGAUCGGCCUCCGUGGAUGCGGCUCGUGAAGGACGCAGUUGGAAGCAGUCGCCCUCCAACAACGGCGCAGAUCGGAGGAGCGACGCUCGCGACAACGAGCGAAGAGCCGGGCGCCAGUCCUGGGCAACACCUUUACCAACGCACACUCAGGGCAACACAGUGAAGACGCGCUACCAAUCUUAGCGCGAAGUUCAUCACCACCAACUUGUAAACAACGAGAGAGCAAUCGUGAUGAAGACGCGCAAGUGAGCUAAACGAGCGGACGCUGCAUUGUCCAGAUGUCUGCUUCCUAUUAAUUGAUCUGGUUUAAAAAUAAAAUGUAUAAU